AUUGAACGCUGGCGGCAGGCCUAACACAUGAAAGUAGAGCGGCGCGGCGGACGGGUGAGUAAUGCUUAGGAAUCUGCCUGGUAGUGGGGGAUAACGUCCGGAAACGGGCGCUAACACCGCAUACAAUCAGAUGAGCCUAGGUCGGAUUAGCUAGUUGUUGGGGUAAAGGCCUACCAAGGCGAAGAUCCGUACCUGGUCUGAGAGGAUGAUCAGUCACACUGGAACUGAGACACGGUCCAGACUCCUACGGGAGGCAGCAGUGGGGAAUAUUGGACAAUGGGCGAAAGCCUGAUCCAGCCAUGCCGCGUGUGUGAAGAAGGUCUUCGGAUUGUAAAGCACUUUAAGUUGGGAGGCGUUACCAACAGAAUAAGCACCGGCUAACUUCGUGCCAGCCGCCGCGGUAAUUC
rnacentral:rRNA from 1 species